AGCGAACGCUGGCGGCAUGCCUAACACAUGCAAGUCGCACGGGGGGGCUUCGGCCUCCCAGUGGCGGACGGGUGAGGAACGCGUAGGGACCUGUCGAGGGGUGGGGGAUAACCGCGGGAAACUGCGGCUAAUACCGCAUGACGCCGCGGCGUGACAGCCGGGGCCAAAGGCGAAAGCCGCCCGCCGAGGGGCCUGCGUCCGAUUAGCUGGUUGGCGGGGUAGCGGCCCACCAAGGCGUCGAUCGGUAGCUGGUCUGAGAGGGUGAUCAGCCACACCGGGACUGAGACACGGCCCGGACUCCUACGGGAAGCAGCAGUGGGGAAUAUUGGACAAAGGGCGCAAGCCUGAUCCAGCAAUGCCGCGUGGGUGAAGAAGGUCUUCGGAUUGUAAAGCCCUUUCGGCGGGGACGAUGGUGACGGUACCCGCAGAAGAAGCCCCGGCUAACUUCGUG
rnacentral:rRNA from 1 species